GACGAACGCUGGCGGCGUGCUUAACACAUGCAAGUCGAACGGAAAGGCCCUGCUUUUGUGGGGUGCUCGAGUGGCGAACGGGUGAGUAACACGUGAGUAACCUGCCCUUGACUUUGGGAUAACUUCAGGAAACUGGGGCUAAUACCGGAUAGGAGCUCCUGCUGCAUGGUGGGGGUUGGAAAGUGUCGGCGGUUGGGGAUGGACUCGCGGCUUAUCAGCUUGUUGGUGGGGUAGUGGCUUACCAAGGCUUUGACGGGUAGCCGGCCUGAGAGGGUGACCGGCCACAUUGCGACUGAGAUACGGCCCAGACUCCUACGGGAGGCAGUAGUGGGGAAUAUUGCACAAUGGGCGGAAGCCUGAUGCAGCAACGCCGCGUGCGGGAUGACGGCCUUCGGGUUGUAAACCGCUUUCGCCUGUGACGAAGCGUGAGUGACGGUAAUGGGUAAAGAAGCACCGGCUAACUACGUG
rnacentral:rRNA from 1 species